GCGCGGCGGCGGCCACGGCCCCGCCGGCUCGCUUCCCGCGCCCGUCCAGGGCGCAUGGGUGGUCAGCCCGGACAUCCGGCUUCGGCGAACACAUUGCAGGGUCCGGCAGAGCGGGGAGUAGCCCCUUGCGCAUGCGAGAGGUCGAAAACCGCGGCCGGC
rnacentral:sRNA from 1 species